CCUACGGGAGGCAGCAGUGGGGAAUAUUGCACAAUGGGCGCAAGCCUGAUGCAGCGACGCCGCGUGAGGGAUGACGGCCUUCGGGUUGUAAACCUCUUUCAGUAGGGAAGAAGCGUAAGUGACGGUACCUGCAGAAGAAGCGCCGGCUAACUACGUGCCAGCAGCCGCGGUAAUACGUAGGGCGCAAGCGUUAUCCGGAAUUAUUGGGCGUAAAGAGCUCGUAGGCGGUUUGUCGCGUCUGCCGUGAAAGUCCGGGGCUCAACUCCGGAUCUGCGGUGGGUACGGGCAGACUAGAGUGAUGUAGGGGAGACUGGAAUUCCUGGUGUAGCGGUGAAAUGCGCAGAUAUCAGGAGGAACACCGAUGGCGAAGGCAGGUCUCUGGGCAUUAACUGACGCUGAGGAGCGAAAGCAUGGGGAGCGAACAGGAUUAGAUACCCUGGUAGUCCAUGCCGUAAACGUUGGGCACUAGGUGUGGGGGACAUUCCACGUUUUCCGCGCCGUAGCUAACGCAUUAAGUGCCCCGCCUGGGGAGUACGGCCGCAAGGCUAAAACUCAAAUGAAUUGACGG
rnacentral:rRNA from 1 species